UACGGAGGAUGCAAGCGUUGUCCGGAUUUAUUGGGCGUAAAGAGCGUGUAGGCGGCCAGGUAGGUCCGCUGUGAAAACUCGAGGCUCAACCUCGAGAUGUCGGCGGAAACCAUCUGGCUAGAGUCCGGAAGAGGAGAAUGGAAUUCCCGGUGUAGCGGUGAAAUGCGCAGAUAUCGGGAAGAACACCCGUGGCGAAGGCGGUUCUCUGGGACGGUACUGACGCUGAGACGCGAAAGCGUGGGGAGCGAACAGG
rnacentral:rRNA from 1 species